CACCGCUGCAAGAGGGGAAGUUGCUACUGUGAUGAAUUCUGCCAUGUGGCACCAGACUGCCACCCAGACCACAGUGUCCUCUGCAACCCUGGUAACUCACAUACAGGCCCGAUUCCACCUACAGCAAAGCUGGAUGCGAUGGCUGGCAGAGGCAAACCCUUUGCCUGCACUUCAGGCCAAAGCCGGGAUGUGGCCUAGAUGGUUCCUAAGGUCCCUGACAAUCCUGAGAUCUUGCAUCUUGUCUAUUUCAGGUCAAAGCUUCUCAGAUGACCAAGAUGGUGCUGCAGAUGGUGCUGAGGAUGGAGAACCCACCAAGCCCCGCUAGGAGCCACCUAGACUGGAUGCAGAGCAUGGAUUCUGGAUGUAUACAGAUGCUCUUCAUCUUAGGAAGGGGUUACGUCCCAAUAAACACGUGGCUAAAACCUUUGAAGAAGAAUUUAUUAUAUCCUACAAACCUGGGAGGCAGAGGUUGCAGUGAGCCAAGAUUGGGCCAUCGCACUCCAGCCUGGGCAAUAAGAAUGAAACUCUGUCUCAAAAAAAACAAAAGUUGGCCAGGGCUGGGCGUGGUGGCUCACACCUGUAAUCCCAGCACUUUGGGAGGCUAAAGCAGGUGGAUCACCUGAGGUCAGAAGUACGAGACCAUCGUGGCUAA
ensembl:lncRNA MUC20-OT1 MUC20 overlapping transcript